rnacentral:lncRNA from 1 species
CCGGAAACUUAAAGCCCAAAAGAAGGAAGCGAAAGCCCAAAAGAGGGAACCAGUUGAACACGUGGAGAAUACAAUCCACAAAAACGAAACAAAAGUCAAAAACUUAAACAAAAGCUCGAAAGAAAACGAACUUGCCAAUCUUACUCCCACACCAAUGUGAACAAAGCCAACCACAAAGGACAACAUGCGUCCAUCUUGCAGUUAACGAAACCUCCUAUUGCGUAGCCAAGGUACCUCUCAAAUCGAAUGAACCUAGACUUCUAUUCCGACAAGAAAGACGCGAGACAAAGAGACCAAAUCCCACAAAUCUUUCGGAAGCGGCGUUUGUCGCAAACCACGACCUUUAAUCGCCUCGUUAGAAGACAUGAACUGACCAGACCUCGAUCAGGUCUUGAGUGUAGAGACAAAGAGCGAAACAAACCUCUAACCGGCAAACACUAAACUCAAAAGGAGAAAAGCAUACGAUCGAACCGGAGAGAUCACAAUAAAGCUCAUCAAAGGACAAAAGCAAGCUCAACAAGACACAAAAACAAGAGAGCUCUAGCAAGCUCAAACCAAAGCUUCGGGCAGCAAGAGAGGAAGGAGAACGAGGUAGCCAUACCAAAAUCCCAGAUUAUCCGUAGAAUCAGAGCCUAAACUAACCUACACAACCCCUUAAGCUACCUAAACUAACGAUUAUACAACCAUAAAGCCACAAGCAAGAGACCAGAGGCAACGAUUAAGCCAUCAACACAAACUACAAAGACUACACCAAGCGCAACCAUGGGAGAAACCAACGAGAGGAGCAGCCCACCCGACAAAGGCCAACACCACCACAGCCCCAAAAGAACCAAGGGGACAGAAACUUCCAACAACCACAAGCUCUCGUCACUUACCAGAUCCACCAUCACCCGACAACACUAACCAGAGCCAACACCUUUAACAUAGAGAACCCGCCAAUCCUUGCAAAAUCCACCGUUGCAAUCACCAAAGACCCACGCCGCAACCAAACCGCCACUCCAAUCGCCAAGGUUUCACCAAAGAAAACACCAACAAGACUAAGAACAAAGCAAAGGAACAACAACAAGAGCCCUCUCGCGGUGCCGGUGAGAAGCACCGACCACCGGAGAGGCAGAUCUAAGAAUCGAUUUUUUGUGACCCUCGACGGCUG